GACGAACGCUGGCGGCGUGCUUAACACAUGCAAGUCGAACGGAAAGGCCCUGCUUUUGUGGGGUGCUCGAGUGGCGAACGGGUGAGUAACACGUGAGUAACCUGCCCUUGACUUUGGGAUAACUUCAGGAAACUGGGGCUAAUACCGGAUAGGAGCUCCUGCUGCAUGGUGGGGGUUGGAAAGUUUCGGCGGUUGGGGAUGGACUCGCGGCUUAUGAGCUUGUUGGUGGGGUAGUGGCUUACGAAGGCUUUGACGGCUAGCCGGCCUGAGAGGGUGACCAGCGACAUUGGGACUGCGAUACGGCCCAGACUCCAACGGGAGGCAGCAGGGGGGAGUAUGGCACAAUGGGCGGAAGCCUGAUACAGCAACGCCGCGUGCGUGAUGACGGCCUUCGGGUUGUAAACCGCUUUGCACUGUGACGAGGCGUGAGUGACGGUAAUGGGUAAAGAAGCACCGGCUAACUACGUG
rnacentral:rRNA from 1 species